rnacentral:snRNA from 1 species
UGAAGCAGAAUUCACCAAGU